CAUUUAUACAAGCAUUAAGUAAAAACCACCUCCACUUUGACCUAUCUUAUAAUGGUUAUUCUUAUGGAGGAGCCUUGGUUUAUUAUUUCCUUUCUUUAAAUCAUGGAUUACUAACCCGCAAGUUUAAUUAUCCCUAGAUAAAACAAUUGUUUCUCUCACUGAAUGUUCUCUACUUGAAAAAGGCCUCAGGCUGGACACUCCACAUUGAAAACCAAGUAAGCCAGGGAUGUAGCUCAGUGGUUCCACCGCCUGCCUCGCAAGCACAAGGGUCCAAGUUUGAUCCCUGGUACCAAAAAAAAUAAAUAAAUAAAAAGAAAAAGAAAGAAAACCAAAUAAGUACCCAGCAUCUGUUGAACGUGGGCUAUAAGUGUCCCUGCUAAAUUCUAUGUAAAUAUAAUUUCUAUAAACUCCAUUAUCUAUAAGAACAUGCUGUGAAAACUUUAUAUUUGUAGGAACUCUUGAGGAAAAUUUCAACUACGUGUUUUCGUUAUGUAAAUAGCCAGUUGCUAAUUGUUCUAUUUUUGAAGUUUUCUUAAAUCAGGGCACACCUGUAAACAUUGUAAAACUGAUCUCAGAAUCACCAGAAAAUGAAAGAAUACCAAAGACAAAACGAUCAGAGAAGCAACGUCUAGACCACAAGAAACCAAAGGCGCACACAGGCGAGUUCUUCACCAGGACUGAGGACGUGGAGCCCAAGGACACAGAGGCCCAGUGAUAUAACUAUGCUUCCUGGUGUGUACGAAGUGGUGCCCAUGCGGUUGAUUCUAUUUGUGAGUUACAGGUGUCUAACUGUCUUUUUCUGUUGACUCAUCAUUGCCUCUUUAUCCCAC
rnacentral:lncRNA from 1 species